CCUACGGGAGGCUGCAGUGAGGAAUAUUGGUCAAUGGGCUUACGCCUGAACCAGCCAAGUCGCGUGAGGGAAGACUGCCCUAUGGGUUGUAAACCUCUUUUGUAAGGGAACAAUUGGCGCUACGUGUAGCGUUAUCGUGAGUAACUGAAGAAAAAACAUCGGCUAACUCAGUGCCAGGAGCCGCGGUAAUACGGCGGAUGCGAGCGUUAUCCGGAUUUAUGGGGUUAAAAGGGUGCGUAGGCGGAAUGCCAAGUCAGCGGUAAAAUCGCGGGGCUCAACCUCGCUCCGCCGUUGAAACUGGCGUUCUUGAGUGUGGGAGAGGUAUGUGGCAUUCGUGGUGUAGCGGUGAAAUGCAUAGAUAUCACGCAGAACUCCGAUGGCGGAGGCAGCAUACCGGCGCCCAACUGACGCUGAAGCGCGAAAGCGUGGGUAUCGAACAGGAUUAGAUACCCCUGUAGUC
rnacentral:rRNA from 1 species